rnacentral:rRNA from 1 species
UACGAAGGGGGCUAGCGUUGUUCGGAUUUACUGGGCGUAAAGCGCACGUAGGCGGAUCGUUAAGUCGGGGGUGAAAUCCUGGAGCUCAACUCCAGAACUGCCUUCGAUACUGGCGAUCUCGAGUCCGGAAGAGGUGAGUGGAACUCCUAGUGUAGAGGUGGAAUUCGUAGAUAUUAGGAAGAACACCAGUGGCGAAGGCGACUCACUGGUCCGGUACUGACGCUGGAGGUGCGAAAGCGUGGGGAGCAAACAGG